CGCCGGCUCGUUUCUGUGAGUGUCAUCGAAAUUGCAAUCAGCGGACCGUCAAGCGUGCGUUGCACCUAUCCGCUCCGGGUUGCGGGUACGGUGUUCGAUGAUAUUUAAUAACUUUGGUGAAGUGGUAAGAAACACAUAAUUUUGAAACUUGUAUUCCACUAUGACGGGUUGCAGCGCACCAAACUGCGCAAAUCGCACGUGCGGACGGACGAGACCAGCCAGCUCCGAAAGGGACCAGGAUAUGCGAGGUGCGUUCGCCUUGUUUACAGAGUGGCUUUGAAUUCUGCACCCAAGGCUCCAAGAACCGGCACUCAUCCCCUGCUGCCACCAGCCAUUGCUCAUCCAUUCCCUUGUACGAAAUAAAUUUGAUCUAGAA
rnacentral:lncRNA from 1 species